UACGAAGGGUGCAAGCGUUACUCGGAAUUACUGGGCGUAAAGCGUGCGCAGGCGGUUUUGUAAGUCUGACGUGAAAGCCCCGGGCUUAACCUGGGAAUUGCGUUGGAGACUGCAAGGCUUGAAUCUGGCAGAGGGGGGUAGAAUUCCGACGUGUAGCAGUGAAAUGCGUAGAGAUGUGGAGGAACACCGAUGGCGAAGGCAGCCCCCUGGGUCAAGAUUGACGCUCAUGCACGAAAGCGUGGGGAGCAAACAGG
rnacentral:rRNA from 1 species